GGAAUAUUGGACAAUGGGCGCAAGACUGAUCCAGCCAUGCCGCGUGUGUGAAGAAGGCCUUCGGGUUGUAAAGCACUUUCAGCGAGGAGGAAGGGUGUUGUUUUAAUAGAACAGCAUUUUGACGUUACUCGCAGAAGAAGCCACGGCUAACUCCGUGCCAGCAGCCGCGGUAAUACGGAGCGUGCAAGCGUUAAUCGGAAUUCCUGGGCGUAAAGCGCACGUAGGCGGGAUGUUAAGUUGGAUGUGAAAGCCCCGGGCUCAACCUGGGAAUUGCAUUCAAAACUGGCAUGCUAGAGUAUGUGAGAGGGGGGUAGAAUUCCAAGUGUAGCGGUGAAAUGCGUAGAGAUUUGGAGGAAUACCAGUGGCGAAGGCGGCCCCCUGGCACAAUACUGACGCUCAGGUGCGAAAGCGUGGGGAGCAAAC
rnacentral:rRNA from 1 species